GACAGAGGUGCCGAGCGUUAGGCGGAAUCACUGGGCUUAAAGCGUGUGUAGGCGGAUAUCUAAGUACCUUGUGAAAUCCCACGGCUCAACCGUGGAACUGCUUGGUAUACUGGGGUGUCUUGAGCCAUCUAGGGGCUACCGGAACAAAUGGUGGAGCGGUGAAAUGCGUAGAUAUCAUUUGGAACGCCAAUGGUGAAAACAGGUAGCUGGGGGAUGUGCUGACGCUGAGACACGAAAGCCAGGGGAGCAAACGGG
rnacentral:rRNA from 1 species